GUUAUCACAUAUUAUAGUCCCCGCCAUUCGUUCUACCUCUGCUGAAGGUGAAAAAUGAGAAUUGGGCUCAAAUCAUGGAAAGAGAGAUUUGCACCAGAAGGAAAAUUUAAGGAAGACUCUUAAGAUACUAAAGAAGAUUAAAAAGUGAGAAAAAUAUAGGAAGAAGCUGUCUUCACUUUUCGGAGGGAAGUCACGGAAAUACAGUAUCAUGGUUUCCUGAGGAUAGCUGAUAAAGACGUCGGAGAGAAGUCAACUUUAGGUCCAUUCUUUCUCAAUUCUGGGAUCUGCCAACAAAUGAAGUGUCUAGGAUCUGCACACACAGUGUUGAGGUGGAGAGCCUUGGGAGGUCAGACCCCUCAGCUUGUGUCUGUGGGAGUGAGAAGAAAUGGCAUCCGGGCCACACAGGGAGGCGUGAGGUUGGAAAAGGCCUGCAGCUCAGCAGCUUCCAGCUUCCAGCAACAGGAGACUCGUGAGCCUGAGCGGAUGAACUCUCCUGCUGCCACCUGGAGGGGUUUCUCAUGUUCCGGGGACAUGGUGACAUCAACCUUCACUUUUCUGAACGUCUCUGCCUGCCCCUCUGCAUUCAUCCUUCACCGUCACUUGCUUGCUGACUCUUCAUUGACGACCCCCCCCCCUUCUCUAGACAGAAGUAGCUAUCCUUUCCUUGUAUCCUCAGAUUACUUGCCGCAUACACCCUCUGUUGUAGCAAAUAUCAAAUUACAUUUUAGUUGUCUAGGUACAGGUCAUACUUUCAGGCUGAGCUACUACUCAAAGGCAGAGGCUGCCUUUUUAAAACUACUGUUUAUUGAGUAUUUUACAUAUGUUAUCUCAUUCAGUUCUUACAAUAAGCCUAAGAGGAAACAGAGGCUCAGAGGGGUUAAAUAUCAUGCCCCACCAUAA
rnacentral:lncRNA from 1 species